AAUGCAUCCUUCAGGCACAGCAUACGAGCGGAUAAUAAAAGAAAAAGAAAUCCAACAAAGAAGAAAUUAUCCGUUACUGCACAGUUACAUAAGUGAUUCAACAAAUAAGUAUAGAAACUGCAGAAACAAAGAAAUUUUAUUAUCAAUAACCAGACAUAUGUACAUUGCAACACCUGGAAAUUAUGAAAGAAGAUAAAGUUGAAAGAGGAGAAAAUGUACUUUAUUAUCAACUGAAGAGAUCGGUAAGACCUUCGAUAACUCGCAGAUAGAUCUGAUUCGCAACUCGUGAUUAGAUCAGCUGGACAAUGUCUUUUAUGAAAAGAUUUGCGAGAAAUCAUCGUCACUUAACACGAUCGCCCUACUUAUAAUAGUACGUAUUAUGGUGUUGUGAUUAUGUGUUACACAUAAAUGAUAUGUUAAACUAAUUGUUAUAACAGUGGCAUAAUAAAUUAUCUUUCAUCAUUCAA